CCUACGGGGGGCAGCAGUAGGGAAUAUUGCUCAAUGGGCGAAACCCUGAAGCAGCAACGCCGCGUGGAGGAUGAAGGUUUUCGGAUUGUAAACUCCUUUUGUUAGAGAAGAUAAUGACGGUAUCUAACGAAUAAGCACCGUCUAACUCCGUGCCAGCAGCCGCGGUAAUACGGCGGGUGCAAGCGUUACUCGGAAGCACUGGGCGUAAAGAGCGCGUAGGCGGGAUAACGAGUCAGAUGUGAAAUCCUAGGGCUUAACCAUAGAACUGCAUUUGAAACUGUUAUUCUAGAGUAUGGGAGAGGGAGGUGGAAUUCGUGGUGUAGGGGUAAAAUGCGUAGAGAUCAAGAGGAAUACUGAUUGCGAAGGCGACCUGCUAGACCAUAACUGACGCUGAUGCGCGAAAGCGUGGGGAGCAAACAGGAUUAGAUACCCCAGUAGUC
rnacentral:rRNA from 1 species